rnacentral:lncRNA from 1 species
UGGCGGCUCUGGACGCCUUGGAAAAGGAAUACCUGCCUACCCACAUGGCGCGCGAGCGUCAGAGACAAGUGAUGGAAACGAUAAGACAAACCGUGAGAAAUUUCUGGGACCUGCCAUAUUUAGAGGAUGCCUUUAUGGGGGUUAUAGGUGAGGGCAGGGUAGAGCGUGGGAACCCCGGGUCGUGGAAAAAGAGGAGUCUGGUGCUAGGAUUCCUGGGAGCAGGGACGGGGCGCGGGGAGGGAGGGAAGGGCCGGAGCCAGAGUCUACUGGGUUCGUGAUGGAGAGGGCUGAGAUGCAGAUGCCAGGGCUUUCCGAGCGCUAGGAAAUACUGUGUUCUCCUACCCCUGACCCUGCAAUUUUAUGUACAAAACUACAACUCCCAGAAGGCAACAGACAGGCAAUCCUUUACAGCCCUAGCCUUGCCCAAUAGCCACAUGGGCAUUGUAGUUUUUAACACUAGCUGAGCCAAUGGGACCACAAGGCUUCGAAUCUGAGGUUCUAUCUCCCCUCCCCGCAUCCCCCGUGUCCCUCCAGAUGAGGCCACGAUGGAAACGUCAGUGUUGGGUUUUCUGAGGAGUAUGACACUUAUCACAAACAGUGACAUAGCAGGUAAAUGGCACAGUGGCCAGGGGAGGGGCUUCGGAAUCCUUUGGCUCUGGAGCCAAACUGCCUAGGUUCAAACACCGGCCCUGUCAUCCCCUGGCUGUGUGGCCUUUAGGGAGGGAUAUCACAGCUUUGUCACCUCCGAACUGGGUCAUAACGGUGCCUGCACCCAGGCCAGUGACUUAGCCCAGUGGCCAGCAUGGUUAAGUGGUCAUUCAAUUUCACUGCGCCUCCCGGAGAUGGCCCCAACCUGGAACGCCAGCCUCUUCAGACGGGUACCUGUACCUCCUCCUGGGGUGGGUGGGAGGAGGGGUCGCCCUCUGUCACCCUGCUCUUUCCCAGAUGACACUUUCGUGAAGGAGUUCUCCUGGAUGUUGACUCUGGAAAAGGCAGCCUUUCAGCGCAAUGUUGCUCGGUUCCAAAGAGAGGGUGAGGGAAGAUGGGUUCCCUCAGGGACCACAGCCCCUUCCUCCACCAGUCCCGGGGUCCCCGUCCCCAGUCCUCUGCUUCUCUAUGUCCAGCCCCUCACCUCUCCCAACAGCGUCCUCCCUCCAACCCAAGAGCCCAAACCCCAACCUAUUCCUUCUCCCCCUCUCUCGUGUCCUUUAACUUAGAAAUCUCAUCACUUUUUUUUUUUUCUUCCUUCUGAGGCAGAUUUCUGUCCCAACAAAUGUGGUGAGUCCAGAUUAGGGAAGCUGGUUUUCUAUCCCCCAUUCUGGCCCCGGUUAAUACCCAGCCUUUCUCCUCCUGCUUUGGGUCUCGAUGGUUCUUCCUUCCCCACGUCUGAGAGGUUCCUGGUCCCCAGUAGUCCUUCUGCACAGCGGACUUCCUGGGCGACGGGUCCUAUUCCAUGUGGGCUCCUCACUGAGCCCGGUUAGGUCCCUCUUCCGGCAGGUCUGCCUUCUAGCCCCGCCCCUUGGGCUGACCUCUCGGGAUUAGGCGCUGGGCCCCGCCCCAGCCCUUGACCCUGCCCUCUCCUUUUAGUCUCUUCUAUCAGGAUAAAUGCAACCUUGAUCCUGCCCCUUCAGGUAUGAUGUUGCAGCCUCUGAUCUGGUGCAGUAAUUGUAAAAAGCAGCUUCACGUUUGUCGAAAGUCCACAGAUUGCGGUGGUGAGAGAGCUGGGGCCAGCUGGAGGGAGUGGGGGUUGACUCAAGAGGGGCGGAGCCAGAGGAGAGCCGGGGUCUAGAGAGGCCAAAGAAAGGAGCCGGCCCACCAGAAAAGUGGGGGCCAAGACCAAGUGCGAGGGAGUUGAGGGAGAACCAAGAUGCAUCCCACCGUAACCGCCUGUCCCCAGUGCGCCAAAUCAACGUCCACGAAAAGGAAGACUUGGUCCUGGACUGUGAGCUCAACUGGCAUAAAUUAUCUCAAGGCCUGACCUAUUACAGCUUUUACAGGGUGGGCCCUUCAACCCCAUCAACCCCAAGUCCAUUAGGCUUGGUUGAGCGCCCACCCCGGUAUCCACAAGCUUGUUGCCACAAUCCCCAUGACCCAUGACCUACCAGGUUUGACUUCUACGGGUCCCCGGGGACCCCAUGCCCUUACCAGUAACCCUAGACUCCCAUCUCCCCCACUGAGAUCCCGUGAUGCUCUCACACCUGUACUUCCCCAAACCCUGAACUCCCCAGGCCUCUGUGACCCCUUGAGCUUGGGUCUAGGUUUGGGGGAGCAAUUCUGAGACCUUGGUGUACAAGGGGAAACAGCCCACCCUGACCAAGCCCCUGGUGGGGCCAGAGGAUGCAGGUGACUACCGCUGUGAGUUGGGCACUGUGAGAUCCCUCCCAGCCACGGUCAUCCAUUUUAAAGUCACAGGUCAGAGCUGGGGAGUCGACGGAAGUGUGGGAAUCAGGGUCCUGGGGUUAGGGGACAGUCAGCUUGGGGCAUGGCCUAUGGGGCAAAACUUCCUGUCGGGGUGUCAUUUCAGGCCACGGGGGUGUGGCCACCCGCCACGGUGGCCGGGGUCCAGGCAGAAAGGGUCGCGAUUGUCUCCUCCAAGGCCCGGGUCUUGGGGGAAGGUUGGAGGGGGGGGAGCUUGCCUGGGCCACGGGGGACCUUGGUGGCCUCCCAAGGCUGCUCUUUCUCUCUCCUCUAUCAGUGUUGCCUCAGAGAAUCAUAGAGGAGACACCGACAUCAAACUUUGAAACCGAGGAGCAGCUGUCCCCAACCCUCCAGCCUUCAGAGUACCCUAAGCCCGAGAAGGUGCUGAGAAGCCUUCUGGCAGGGCUGCUGAUCUGGGGCUUUGUGGUGCUGAUCAUCAGCUUUGUCACCGCGUGAGCCAACCCUGAUGAAGGCGGGGCACGAACAGAGGGACGGGGUCUCCAAAUCCCAAUGCAGGAGGGGGUCCUUUAAGGGAGAGGCCUUAGAAAAUGGUAGCGAUGAUCCAGCCUGGGUCAUUGCUGGAGUAAGACCAAAUAUAGGGAGGCGAGGAGGGCUAUCCCUCAAGACCUAACCUGGUUCCACUAUCUGCCCCCCGCCCUCCCCCAGCGUACUUUGCUUUCUGCCUGGGAACGUGAUGGAUUCCAUAAAGUCCUGGGUCCUCACAAACAGAGCAGCCGCCCUGCAGAGCCAGGUUCCGAAGGUACCGAAAGGAAACGACACAGCACCAAGUCACAAAUAAAGAUUUAUCUGGUUGCCUA